GAUCCUAGCUCAGGAUGAACGCUAGCUACAGGCUUAACACAUGCAAGUCGAGGGGCAGCAUGAACUUAGCUUGCUAAGUUUGAUGGCGACCGGCGCACGGGUGAGUAACACGUAUCUAACCUUCCGUUUAUUCAGGGAUAGCCUUUCGAAAGAAAGAUUAAUACCUGAUAGUAUGGUGAGAUUGCAUGAUAACACCAUUAAAGAUUUAUUGGUAAACGAUGGGGAUGCGUUCCAUUAGGUAG
rnacentral:rRNA from 1 species